rnacentral:misc_RNA from 1 species
CCGAGUUUACAACUCCCAAACCCAAUGUGAACAUUACCUUGACGUUGCCUCGGCGGGACCGCCCCCGGCGCCCUCACCGGCAACCGGAAACCAGGCGCCCGCCGCAGGGACCCAAAACCUCUGUUUUAUUAUGAAUUCUCCUCUGAGUGGAUUUUAUACAAAUAAAUCA